GAUGAACGCUAGCUACAGGCUUAACACAUGCAAGUCGAGGGGAAACGAUGAGAGAGCUUGCUCUCUUAGUCGUCGACCGGCGCACGGGUGAGUAACGCGUAUCCAACCUGCCUCUGACCAAGGGAUAACCCGUCGAAAGUCGGACUAAUACCUUAUGCAGUCGUCGGAAGUCAUCUGAUGACGACGAAAGAUUUCAUCGGUGAGAGAUGGGGAUGCGGCUGAUUAGCUUGUUGGCGGGGUAACGGUCCACCAAGGCGACGAUCAGUAGGGGUUCUGAGAGGAAGGGCCCCGACAGUGGAACUGAGACACGGUCCAAACUCCUACGGGAGGCAGCAGUGAGGAAUAUUGGUCAAUGGGCGUAAGCCUGAACCAGCCAAGUAGCGUGCAGGAUGACGGCCCUAUGGGUUGUAAACUGCUUUUAUGCGGGGAUAAAGUGAGGGACGUGUCCUUCAUUGCAGGUACCGCAUGAAUAAGGACCGGCUAAUUCCGUG
rnacentral:rRNA from 1 species